UACGUAGGGGGCUAGCGUUGUCCGGAUUUAUUGGGCGUAAAGAGCGUGUAGGCGGCCAGGUAGGUCUGCUGUGAAAACUCGAGGCUCAACCUCGAGACGUCGGCGGAAACCAUCUGGCUAGAGUCCGGAAGAGGAGAGUGGAAUUCCUGGUGUAGCGGUGAAAUGCGCAGAUAUCAGGAAGAACACCCGUGGCGAAGGCGGCUCUCUGGGACGGUACUGACGCUGAGACGCGGAAGCGUGGGGAGCGAACAGG
rnacentral:rRNA from 1 species